UCUGGNCGUACGGNCUCGCNGGCGGUCUGUCNGUCGGAUGUGAAAUCCCCGGUANNNACCUGGGAACUGCAUUCGAAACUGGCAGGCUAGAGUCUUGUAGAGGGGGGUAGAAUUCCNGGUGUAGCGGUGAAAUGCGUAGAGAUCUGGAGGAAUACCGGUGGCGAAGGCGGCCCCCUGGACAAAGACUGACGCUCAGGUGCGAAAGCGUGGGGAGCAAACGGGAUUAGAUACCCUGGUAGUCCACGCCGUAAACGAUGUCAACUUGGAGGUUGUGCCCUUGAGGCGUGGCUUCCGGAGCUAACGCGUUAAGUCGACCGCCUGGGGAGUACGGCCGCAAGGUUAAAACUCACAUGAAUUGACGGGGGCCCGCACAAGCGGUGGAGCAUGUGGUUUAAUUCCAUUAAACGCGAAGAACCUUACCUACUCUUGACAUCCAGAGAACUUANCAGAGAUGCUUUGGUGCCUUCGGGAACUCUGAGACAGGUGCUGCAUGGCUGUCGUCAGCUCGUGUUGUGAAAUGUUGGGUUAAGUCCCGCAACGAGCGCAACCCUUAUCCUUUGUUGCCAGCGGUCCGGCCGGGAACUCAAAGGAGACUGCCAGUGAUAAACUGGAGGAAGGUGGGGAUGACGUCAAGUCAUCAUGGCCCUUACGAGUAGGGCUACACACGUGCUACAAUGGCGCAUACAAAGAGAAGCGAACUCGCGAGAGCAAGCGGACCUCAUAAAGUGCGUCGUAGUCCGGAUUGGAGUCUGCAACUCGACUCCNUGAAGUCGGAAUCGCUAGUAAUCGUAGAUCAGAAUGCUACNGUGAAUACGUUCCCGGGCCUUG
rnacentral:rRNA from 1 species